GGUAGAUGUGGGGCAGGAGGCGCGUUAAGACAGAGUGUGCAAACGUGGGUCGGAAUGACCGGGGUUAAAGCGCGGGUAGGCGGGCUGGGGUGUCGGAUGUGAAAUCCCCAGGCUCAACCUGGGAACUGCAUUCGAAACUGCCAGCCUUGAGUGGUGGAGAGGGAAGUGGAAUUCCUGGUGUAGAGGUGAAAUUCGUAGAUAUCAGGAGGAACACCAGUGGCGAAGGCGGCUUCCUGGACACCAACUGACGCUGAGACGCGAAAGCGUGGGGAGCAAACAGGAUUAGAUACCCUGGUAGUC
rnacentral:rRNA from 1 species